rnacentral:rRNA from 1 species
UACGAAGGGGACUAGCGUUGUUCGGAAUCACUGGGCGUAAAGCGCACGUAGGCGGAUUUGUAAGUCAGGGGUGAAAUCCCGGGGCUCAACCUCGGAACUGCCUUUGAUACUGCGAAUCUUGAGUCCGAUAGAGGUGGGUGGAAUUCCUAGUGUAGAGGUGAAAUUCGUAGAUAUUAGGAAGAACACCAGUGGCGAAGGCGGACCCACUC